rnacentral:rRNA from 1 species
AACCUACGGCCCUGUAACAACGGGCCGCCCCCGCCAGAGGACCCCUAACUCUGUUUUUAUAAUGUUUUUCUGAGUAAACAAGCAAAUAAAUUAAAACUUUCAACAACGGAUCUCUUGGCUCUGGCAUCGAUGAAGAACGCAGCGAAAUGCGAUAAGUAAUGUGAAUUGCAGAAUUCAGUGAAUCAUCGAAUCUUUGAACGCACAUUGCGCCCGCCAGUAUUCUGGCGGGCAUGCCUGUUCGAGCGUCAUUACAACCCUCAGGCCCCCGGGCCUGGCGUUGGGGAUCGGCGGAAGCCCCCUGUGGGCACACGCCGUCCCUCAAAUACAGUGGCGGUCCCGCCGCAGCUUCCAUUGCGUAGUAGCUAACACCUCGCAACUGGAGAGCGGCGCGGCCAUGCCGUAAAACACCCAACUUCUGAAUGUUGACCUCGAAUCAGGUAGGAAUACCCGCUGAACUUAAGCAUAUCAAU